rnacentral:tRNA from 1 species
AAGUUUAGGUUAACCCAAACCAAGGGCCUUCAAAGCCCUAAAUAGGGCAAAAGGCCCUAACUUCUG